rnacentral:rRNA from 1 species
UACGUAGGGGGCAAGCGUUGUCCGGAAUCAUUGGGCGUAAAGAGCGUGUAGGCGGCCAGAAAAGUCCGCUGUGAAAACUCGAGGCUCAACUUCGAGCUGUCGGUGGAAACUUUCUGGCUAGAGUCCGGAAGAGGAGAAUGGAAUUCCUGGUGUAGCGGUGAAAUGCGCAGAUAUCAGGAAGAACACCAAUGGCGAAGGCAGCUCUCUGGGACGGUACUGACGCUGAGACGCGAAAAGCGUGGGGAGCGAACAGG